UACGGAGGGGGCAAGCGUUGUUCGGAUUUACUGGGCGUAAAGGGUGUGUAGGCGGCUGGAUAAGUCUGGCGUGAAAUCUUCACCGCUCAACGGGAAGGGGUCGCUGGAAACUGUUCAGCUUGAGUGUGGUAGAGGCAAACGGAAUUCCUGGUGUAGCGGUGGAAUGUGUAGAUAUCAGGAAGAACACCGGUGGCGAAGGCGGUUUGCUGGGCCAUCACUGACGCUGAGACACGAAAGCGUGGGGAGCAAACGGG
rnacentral:rRNA from 1 species